rnacentral:rRNA from 1 species
AUUGAACGCUGGCGGCAGGCCUAACACAUGCAAGUCGAACGAGUGGCGGACGGGUGAGUAAUGUCUGGGAAACUGCCUGAUGGAGGGGGAUAACUACUGGAAACGGUAGCUAAUACCGCAUACCAUCGGAUGUGCCCAGAUGGGCUUAGCUUGUUGGUGGGGUAACGGCUCACCAAGGCGACGAUCCCUAGCUGGCCUGAGAGGAUGACCAGCAACACUGGAACGGAGACACGGUCCAGACUCCUACGGGAGGCAGCAGUGGGGAAUAUUGGACAAUGGGCGAAAGCCUGAUACAGCCAUGCCGCGGGUGUGAAGAAGGUCUUCGGAUUGUAAAGUACUUUAAGUUGGGAGGCGUUACCAGCAGAAUAAGCACCGGCUAACUUCGUGCCAGCAGCCGCGGUAAUAC